AUCAAGAAGCAAACAAAAAAAUUUUUUUUUAAUAUAAAUCGUUCCAAUAUUCCGAAAGCGCGUUGGAAAACUACCGUUAUUGUGCAUUUCUUCCAGUAUAUUAACUCAGUAAUUUUGGUUUGGAACACGAAGAACGUUCUGGGCAGCACAAAGAACUUGAAGAUGAGGAAAGGAUGAGGAAUCAAUAAUCAAUGGCGAUUGUUGCCAAAUACAAGAAUCUUUGGAACGCACUCAGGCAGUCACUUAAAAGCGGCCGUAUAAAUUUAAAAGCAAGUAAGCUGGAUGCCAUAUGACUUGAAGUCAAGAGACGUUGAAAGAGGAUUUUUAAUGACAAAAAUGCGCCUUGACCGCUUUAAAAAGUAGUCGAUUUCGCAGCGUAUGUGUCUGGCAACGAAAAUCAGCUUCAUUACCACAAUCCUAAGCGCAUAAAGUCAUAUGAACCAACAAGUCAAAUAAAAGCAAAACCGAACAUCUAAAGGAUCGGUGUUUGAUGGGAUUAAAUGGAAGCCACAAAUUACCUGUAAGCGUUCAAUGCAUAAAGAUCGCUCGAUCGAAUUUAUUUAUAUACCCAAUAUUUAACUAAAAUUAUUAAGUUCUGGAAGCAACGUAAUUGUGCCUAACUAAGUGUGCCUGGACUCAGAUUGAUACUCCAAUUAUUCAAGAAAGGGAAACACUGGGGUCGAAUUGCCACAUCCGAAAUAGUACAAAGGAAAAUUAUUGGGUUGCCCAAAAAGUAAUUGCGGAUUUUUUAAAAGAAAG